rnacentral:rRNA from 1 species
UACGAAGGGGGGCUAGCGUUGCUCGGAAUCACUGGGCGUAAAGCGCACGUAGGCGGCUUUCUAAGUCAGGGGUGAAAUCCUGGAGCUCAACUCCAGAACUGCCUUCGAUACUGGCGACCUUGAGUCCGGGAGAGGUGAGUGGAACUCCGAGUGUAGAGGUGAAAUUCGUAGAUAUUCGGAAGAACACCAGUGGCGAAGGCGGCUCACUGGCCCGGUACUGACGCUGAGGUGCGAAAAGCGUGGGGAGCAAACAGGG